CCUACGGGAGGCAGCAGUGAGGAAUAUUGGUCAAUGGGCGGAAGCCUGAACCAGCCAAGUAGCGUGCAGGAUGACGGCCCUACGGGUUGUAAACUGCUUUUAUACGGGAAUAACGCGCCUUACGUGUAGGGCUUUGCAUGUACCGUAUGAAUAAGGACCGGCCAAUUCCGUGCCAGCAGCCGCGGUAAGACGGAAGGUCCGGGGGUUAUCGGGUUUUAUUGGGUUAAAGGGAGCGUAGGCCGCAUGUCAAGGGUGCUGUGAAGUGUCCGGGCUCAACCCGGGCCUUGCAGCGCGAACUGGCGUGAUUGAGUCCGCGGAAGGCAGGCGGAAUUCGUGGUGUAGCGGUGAAAUGCUUAGAUAUGACGAAGAACCCCGAUUGCGAAGGCAGCUUGCUGCAGCGGAACUGACGCUGAUGCUCGAAAGCGCGGGUAUCGAACAGGAUUAGAUACCCCUGUAGUC
rnacentral:rRNA from 1 species